AAGAGAAGAUUUUGAAAAGCAGAGACUGGUAGAAGAAUGAAGAAAGAGGGGAAAGUGGAAGCAGUCGACACACGAGAGACAAGCAGCACAUCUGUGCAGUGUGAAGGGAGAGGGCCUAUAUGAUCCACACCAAGGAGUCAGCGGUCUGGAUUUCCAAUCCUACAAUAAAUGAAGGACAGCUGGAAUCCUCACAAAACAUCACACAUAUUCUGCAGAGUGCUGAACCCUGGUGAACUUUGUGAAGAUCCACUACCACUGGCCUGGCAAUCAUUUCUCUCUUUCCAGAUCUCAAAGUUGGGAGUUGCAGUGUGAAGACGCUAAAUAGUGUGUUUUAGAGCAAGAGGUAUUAAUUCAACAUUGGAAAGACCACUGGUACCCAACAGACCCUUCCAGCUGAGUUCAGAAAGUGUGCUCUCAAGAUCCAAGCUCUCCUUGUGC